rnacentral:lncRNA from 1 species
GGCGCUUCAAGAACACUCCUGCUGGACAUUUUGUGGAGGUCUUAUGUUCUAUCCUGAACAGAAAGAAAGGAGGCAGUGGGACUUAUUCCUGUAUGGACUCUUGACAAACUGUUACAAGGAAUGAGCUUAUACUGUGACUGAAUCAGAAACUAUGGUAUAUGGCACAGACUCCCCAGCAGGGUAGCAGGCAGGAAGAGUGCAAACACACACUGAACAGCAGAGACACUGGCAGAGCUCAAGGUAGGCUCCGUGGCUGAACCAAGAACUCUGGAGAGGAUAUGGCAGAAAAGCAAAGUUUGGGGCCAGUCUGCCAACGAAGAAAGGAACAGAAACAAAGCUAAAAAAAAAAAAAAAAAAAAAAAAAAAAAGCUAAAAAGAAAAGAAAAAGAAAAAGAAAAAUUAACAUAAAAUUAGGAAAGGACUGAGAGACAGCUCAGCAGAGAGGACUGGAUGCUUUUCUAUUAGACCAGGAUUUGACUACAUCCUGGCAACCAUAUGGUAGCUCAUAGCUGUCAGUAACAGCUGUCAGUCUGAGGGGAUCCACUGGCAUCUUCUGGCCUCCAAGAGUAUCAGACAUGCACAUAGCGUAGAGAUAAAUUCAAACAAAAUACUCACACACAAUAAAAAUAAUUAAAGAAAAAAAGGACUCUAAAACCCAAAUAUAAGACUAAAAAUUAAAACAAAACACCUAGUGUUUUAAUAAAGAACAAACAAAGAGCCAGACAUGGUGGCAUGUGCCUUUAAUUCCAGCACCUGGAGGCAGGCAGGCAGGCAGAUCUCUGAGUUCAAGGCCAACCUGGUCUACGAAGAGAGUUCCAGGAUAGCCAGCGCUGUUACAAAGAGAAAGCCUGUCUCAAAAAACAAAACAAAACAAAAAAAAAAAACCCAAACAAACAAAAAAAGCAGUAUGUGUCAAUGGAGCUUACAGAAGUAAAGAGCUCACAGCCUGCUCAAGUUCUGAGGGAAGCAGCCUCCUGUAAGGGUUUCUGUUGCUUAAUAAACACCGUGACCAAAAUCAAGUUGGAGAAGAAAGGGCUUAGUGGCUUACAGUUCUAUAUCACAGACCAUCACUGAAGUAAGUCUGGGCCAUGGAAGAGUGCUGCUUACUGGCUUUCUCCACAUGGCUUGCUCUGCCUGCUUUGUUAUAGCAACCUGAACCAUCAGCCUAGGGAUGGCACCAUCUACAAUGGGCUGGGCACUUCCCUACUAAUUACCAAAUAAGAAAAUGCCCUACAGGCCUGCCUAAUCCUAUGAAGACAUUCUCUCAGUUGAAGCUUCCUUAUCUCCCAGUGACUCUAGCUUGUGACAAGUUGACAUAAAAUUUAGCCAGCACAAAACCUUGGUAUCAGAGCAAGUCCUGGCUGGCAAUAUCUGUGCAGGCAAAAAGCUGGCUCCCGACUGCUCACUCAAAGGGUGGGUUUCCUACAGAGCUGAGCUUGAGGCUAUCCUAGACCCUUUCUGGUGCUGGAAGGCUUCCUCGGGCCCCAGUGCCACCCUCACACUGUUUAUUUAUAGCAGUGUCACUUGCCCUGCUGCUCUGCCUCCAUAAGCCCUCAACUCUUAGCUGAACACAGAAAAAACCAAUCAGACCUUUUGGUCUGAGAGGUAAAACUGAAGGCCUUGGUGCCCAGAGGGCUACCUGUAACAGUAGCUGGUAACCUGCUAAUCAAACCUACCUUCUACUAUCCAGGACACAGAAGAUAAGUGCUCAACUGACAGAGAAAUCCGGUCUGUGGAGAGGUGCAGGUGCUGAUGAACAGUGAUGUGGAAGCAUAAAUAAACCCUAGCCUUCCCAAGUUGCUUUGGUCAUGGUGCUUCAUCAUAGGGUACUUAGUAGUAACCCUAAGACAGGAAGUGAAUGUGAAACCACUAAAGCAUGCUGAGAACUGGCCUCAGAACUGAUAGCCGUCUGGGCUAACAUCUGCCCAGCACAACCUUCACACAGACCAUGGCAAUGUCCAUCAAAAGCAGACCUGAGCCUGUCCUUGAGCCUGACUGCAGACCAAGCUGCUUCCCUAGCCAGCCCUGCCACAUCUUGUCCCACUGGAUUGUUAAAGACAGGAUAGUGAAAGGACACAGCCAAAACCCACAUCAUGAUACAAAUGAUAAAUUAUAUUUAUACAGUAAAUAAGUAUCAACAGUCAACACAAAUCCAAAACCACCCACCAGCCCUGGGACUGAGAAAUAGCUGGGUGACUUCCUUCAGGGUAUUCAUCAAGAAGGGCAUGGUGGCACGUGUGCAACACACAUGGCAGUGGCCAGCGGCUUCAUGAUCAGUGCAGCGGGUAACAGGGACAUGCGCUGGAUGGCCUGUUGAAGGAGGAGCCCAGUGGCUACUGGGAUGGGGCCCCAGUCAGAUGGGCUCUUGUCUUCUGGAGUAGAAUCCCAGGCCCACAGCAGGCAGUUCUGGCCCUAGCAUGUACAAUCUGAAGGAAGCACAAUCUGGACUGGUGACUGGCCUCCAUCCUGUGAUGUCUCCAUCUCUCCCAGGUAGGAGCCCAGCCAUCAGCCUUCCUGAAUAGCAGAGCCCAAACCUUUCCCUCGGCCUCUGGUCCUGGGUGGAAUGGGUAGUUAGGAAGGGCCCUUGGCUUGUGGGGCCUAGGAGCAGCAUGUAGACUCAGACCCAGGAGGGGCUUAAGUGCAGUCCUCUCUCAAACAGGAAUCACUGAGUCAACUCUGUGCGUGCUGGGGGCCAAAAGUUUCUCUGGAUGCAGAGAGGAGCUGGCAGGUGGCUGGGUGUCCUUGGAGCUUAAGGUUAGAGAAGUCCAUAUUGCAGGAAGGACACAAACUGCCAGGACCAAGAAGGGGCAGUCCUUUCUCUGAAGAAUGCAAGUCUGUGGUCUCUUAACUCAAGAUUUAAUACUUUUCUUAACAGUGAGUAGUGAGGACAUCAGGAGGUUGGGAGAGAAAGGAUAGUAUCAGUGCACGUAUGUUAAAUCUAUGCCAUGUGAGGACUUUUUCAUCUCCAAAAUAGGAUGUGGUUACUUCCUGGUCAGCAGCCUGAGUUGGAGCUGGCAGACAGACAAAUCUGGGCCAGUCUCUGCCAUGACUCAGCUAGGGGACCAUCCCUGAUGACCUCUGAGCCCACAUGUAUAGAAUCACCCCCAUUUUCACACAAUCUCAUUAACCUGAGCAUGAUGGUGGGGCAGCCAGCCACAUUUCUGGCCUGCAGUAAAUGGAAGUCCCUGGCAAUCCCUGCAUUCCAGGUACAAAAAGGGAUUAGUUGAUAAAAACUGGCAAGUCACAAUCAUGCGUUGUUUUUCCUUUUAACCUUAAGAUGCCAAUAUACUAGUAGCAAAAAGCCUCUCCAAUCUCGGCAAAAAUGCUGCAGAGUCAACUGACUGAUAAUUCAUCAAAAGAGUUGAAGAAAGGAAAAAGGCAACUAGAGGCUGCGGGGUUUGUUAUUGUUGGAAGUUUUUGUUUUGUUUUAAUAAAAUUCUUUUUUGUGU